AUUGAACGCUGGCGGCAGGCCUAACACAUGCAAGUCGAGCGGAUGAGUGGAGCUUGCUCCAUGAUUCAGCGGCGGACGGGUGAGUAAUGCCUAGGAAUCUGCCUGGUAGUGGGGGACAACGUUUCGAAAGGAACGCUAAUACCGCAUACGUCCUACGGGAGAAAGUGGGGGAUCUUCGGACCUCACGCUAUCAGAUGAGCCUAGGUCGGAUUAGCUAGUUGGUGAGGUAAAGGCUCACCAAGGCGACGAUCCGUAACUGGUCUGAGAGGAUGAUCAGUCACACUGGAACUGAGACACGGUCCAGACUCCUACGGGAGGCAGCAGUGGGGAAUAUUGGACAAUGGGCGAAAGCCUGAUCCAGCCAUGCCGCGUGUGUGAAGAAGGCCUGAGGGUUGUAAAGCACUUUUGUUGGGGUAGGAGUCUUGGAUGGUUAAGAGCUGUUUAAGAGGACGUUACCCAAAGAAUAAGCACCGGCUAACUCCGUGCC
rnacentral:rRNA from 1 species